rnacentral:lncRNA from 1 species
GGGCUGCUUUGGGGCAGCAUAUGUCCUGGCAACCUUUUCAUGGGUCACUUUUGAUUUUUCAGGGGACCCACACAAGCCACCUCCUUUAUCUGUGUUUCACGUUGCCCUUCAUCCAUAACGCCAGUUAACCGUGGGUCGUCCUGCUCGUGCAAUCCAACAAGUACUUUGGAUUAAGAUAAAGCUUAUCCAUACGCGAUGCCCAUGAUGAGAAUCUUGUGAAGACGGAUGCAGUUUCUCUGGCCAACCAGAAGGACCUUGUGUGGAGCACAGGGGUGCGUGUGGGGCUCACUGCUAAUACGGAGCGCUUGCAGAGUCUCCGUGCUCACACUGGUCAGCACCGAGGCCACAAACCAUCCACAGUCUCCUGGCUAGGAUCCGAGCACAGCGGCUUCGACCCGAGCUUCAACAAGAGUCUACAUCUUGCUUCUCUUGGGGAUAACCCCGAAGGGGCCGUGUUUGGGGGAGGCAGGACCAGAUGUGAUUGGACCCGGAGCCGGACUCAGCUUCCUGAGUCGAGAGGGGAGCGAAGCUUCAGCCUGUUCCCUCCGCCCUCCGGAAGGCCCAGCGAGAAGACGGCCGACAGGUCCCAAAUCACACUGCUUCGCAGCUCCACCCUUCAGUGAGCCAGGAUGACCCACUUCCCCGGUUCAGAGCCACCCAGAGCCUUUCCUGGAGGGAGCACGGUGUGUUUUACCUGAACAGAACUUGACUCUCCCCAGUUGUAUCUCUCUGCAGCAUUCAUUUCUUUCCAUGUUUAUUUCUUAAAUCGUAAUAAAAUAUAGAUGACAUGACCA